rnacentral:lncRNA from 1 species
CAUUCCAUCAAAAUAUGUGAUAGGCAUAACUUGUACAUACAUGAGGAUUUCAUGAUAUCAUACUAGUUGGGCAUUGUUCCUUCAUCUAGGCAUUUAAUCAAACACAUGGUACGCAUAGCACAUGUAGACAACAUUAUACAACAAUUAAUCAUCAUGAUUCAUCUCUAAUUUCAUCAUCAUAGGGUUUAUUCAUAGGUUCACAUGAAUAUACAUCUAUACAAAUCAAUUCCACAUAAAAUUG